rnacentral:misc_RNA from 1 species
AAUUCUCAACUCCUCCCAGCUGGUAUGGCUUGGUGUCUGGGGCUUGGAUAUUGGAGGUUUGUUGGCCAUUCUAGGUCAACUCCUCUAAAAUGCAUUAGUGGAACCGUUUGCGAUCUGGCACAGGUGUGAUAAUUAUCUACGCCAGUCGGUCGCUCUCUGUCUGUUCUGCUUCUAACCGUCCACCUUUAUUGGACAAACUAUUACUGAAC